rnacentral:rRNA from 1 species
AUGGAGUUCAAGCACCUGUGCCUGGUAAGGUUCAAGGAGGGCGUGGUGGUGGACGACAUCAUUGAGGAGCUCACCAAGCUCGCUGGGGAGCUUGACACCGUCAAAUUCUUCGGAUGGGGAAAAGAUGUGCUGAACCAGGAGGCGCUCACGCAGGGCUUCACCCACAUCUUCUCCAUGAGCUUCGCCAAGGUCGAGGACCUGGCAGCAUGCAUGGGCCACGAGAAGCACUCUGCUUUCGCCUGCCACACUGGCCACACCGACAACAGUGAGGCCAUUUUUGGUUCCUCAUGA